CCUACGGGAGGCAGCAGUCGAGAAUCAUUCACAAUGGGGGAAACCCUGAUGGUGCGACGCCGCGUGGGGGAAUGAAGGUCUUCGGAGUGUAAACCCCUGUCAUGGGGGAGCAAAGUAAAAAGAUAGUACCACAAGAGGAAGAGACGGCUAACUCGGUGCCAGCAGCCGCGGUAAUACAGAGGUCUCAAGCGUUGUUCGGAAUCACUGGGCGUAAAGCGUGGGUAGGCUGUUUCGUAGGUCGAGUGUGAAAGGGGCGGGCGCAACCCGCUGACGGCACAUGAUACUGCGAGACUAGAGUAAUGGAGGGGGAACCGGAAUUCUCGGUGUAGCAGUGAAAUGCGUAG
rnacentral:rRNA from 1 species